GGCGAACGGGUGAGGAACACGUGAGAAACCUGCCUUUCAUUCUGGGAUAACACCGGGAAACCGGUGCUAAUACCGGAUACUCCGUCUUGGCGGCAUCGCCGAGCCGGGAAAAAAUUUUGAUGAAAGAUGGUCUCGCGGCCUAUCAGCUAGUUGGUGAGGUAAUGGCUCACCAAGGCGACGACGGGUAGCCGGCCUGAGAGGGCGACCGGCCACACUGGGACUGAGACACGGCCCAGACUCCUACGGGAGGCAGCAGUAGGGAAUAUUGGGCAAUGGGCGCAAGCCUGACCCAGCGACGCCGCGUGAGGGAUGAAGGUCUUCGGAUUGUAAACCUCUUUCAGUAGGGAAGAAGCGAAAGUGACGGUACCUAAAGAAGAAGCACCGGCUAACUAUGUGCCAGCAGCCGCGGUAAUACAUAGGGUGCAAGCGUUGUCCGGAAUUAUUGGGCGUAAAGAGCUCGUAGGUCGUUUGUCGCGUCGAUUGUGAAAAUCUGAGGCUCAACCUCAGACCUGCAGUCGAUACGGGCAAACUAGAGUGUGGUAGGGGAGACUGGAAUUCCUGGUGUAGCGGUGGAAUGCGCAGAUAUCAGGAGGAACACCAAUGGCGAAGGCAGGUCUCUGGGCCAUAACUGACACUGAGGAGCGAAAGUGCGGGGAGCGAACAGGAUU
rnacentral:rRNA from 1 species